CCCAACUAUCCCUAUUAAUCAUUACGUCGAUCCUAGAAACCAACAAAAUAGGAUUAACGUCCUAUUUCAUUAUUCCAUGCUAAUGUAUUCAAGCGUUAGCCUGCUUUAAACACUCUAAUUUUUUCAAAGUAACAGUCCUGAUUUCCCGCAACACCAAAUUAAUGACAUCACGGUUCGUCAAGAAGGAGGAAUCAGUAAAGCCAGUACAUACCGAAGGCAUGACCAACUUACUAACCCCGAAAUUCAACUACGAGCUUUUUAACUGCAACAACUUUAAUAUACGCUAUUGGAGCUGGAAUUACCGCGGCUGCUGGCACCAGACUUGCCCUCCAA
rnacentral:misc_RNA from 2 species